CUUUGUUUAAUAUCUCAAACAGCAAACGUGUUCUCCAGAAUAAAUAUAUGUUGCAGCCCUGUUAGUCUGUGUAAAGCAGUCAGAACUAGCACAGGUGCCUGGGAAUACACUGACGGAUCUGCUGUCACCAGAAAACACCUAAUAUAUUGAAUUAUUAGAAUUAUUUCUAUUUGACAUUACAUGCCACUGGCAAGGACUCCUUGGAUUACUCUUUUUGGUUUUUUAUUUUUUUAUUUUCUGAAAAGCAGAGAACUCUGAUCGCAUUUAUUGGGCUCAAUAAUAAUUUACUGCAGCGAAAACCAUGGACUGGAUUUUGUGAUUUAAAUAUGGAUGUG